rnacentral:tRNA from 1 species
GCCUGGGUGGCUCAGUCGGUUGAGCAUCUGACUUCAGCUCAGGUCACGAUCUCACGGUUUGUGAGUUCGAGCCCCGCGUCGGGCU